UACGUAGGGAGCAAGCGUUGUCCGGAAUCAUUGGGCGUAAAGCGCGCGUAGGCGGCCCUGUAAGUCCGUUGUGAAAGUCAAAGGCUCAACCUUUGAAAGCCGAUGGAUACUGCAGGGCUAGAGUCCGGAAGAGGCGAGUGGAAUUCCUGGUGUAGCGGUGAAAUGCGUAGAGAUGUGGAGGAACACCAGUGGCGAAGGCGACUCUUUGGUCUGUAACUGACGCUGAGGCGCGAAAGCGUGGGGAGCAAACAGG
rnacentral:rRNA from 1 species